rnacentral:miRNA from 1 species
GAUGGCAGUGAAUUUAGUGAUU